UACAGAGACUGCAAGCGUUAUUCGGAUUCACUGGGCGUAAAGGGUGCGCAGGCGGCCGGGUGUGUCAGAUGUGAAAUCCCGAGGCUCAACCUCGGAACUGCGUCUGAAACUACUCGGCUAGAGUACUGGAGAGGGUAACGGAAUUCACGGUGUAGCAGUGAAAUGCGUAGAUAUCGUGAGGAACAUCAGUGGCGAAGGCGACUUUCUGGACUAAUACUGACACUGAGGCACGAAAGCGUGGGGAGCAAACAGG
rnacentral:rRNA from 1 species